AUCCUAUGGUUUCAUCGAUCAAUCAAGAAGAGGUGAGUGAGUUUCGCAAGGCAUGCUGGGUAUGCUACCCUUCCUUUUUUGGCGGUUUUACCUCGUAGUAACUUUCCAGAAAAACGAAAGGGUUAUGAUGAGAGAUUAUGUCAUACCCUGGCACAUGCUUUGUCCAAUGGACCAUGGAAGGGACUUUACUUGGCUGACGAGGACGCACCUCACCAGUAUCAGAGCAACAGCUGUGGGGUGUUUAUGCUGAUGUACGCAAUGUAUUCUACCCUCAAAAGCAAUAUGAUUUCAGUCAUCUCAAUCAGAUGUGUAGCAUGAAAUAUAAGGCUUUUAAUAAUCUAGUCAUCCUUACUGGAGGCUACAAUUAACAUGCAUCAUAGGUCAUACACAUUCUUUGUCUUCAGGUACUGCACUUACGGGAGGAGAUGGCUACAUCUUCACAAUAAUUUACACUGCUAAACAGUACUGUAACAUGGAUUUGUAUUAGGCUAUGAAGUCAUUUAAAGCAUAACUUUACUUUUCAGGGGGACAUGCUCUAUCAGGAGGUGGUGGUUGGACAGCUGUUGGAGACCUUUAUGCUUGAAAGGUUUAUAUACUGUGUCCAUGUUGCUAUUUACUUAUUUUUGGUGCUCACGAAGAUCGUAGCCAAUACACUUGUCUCUCUGUCUCUAGCCCUGCAGAACUAGCUGGCUCCUUCUCACCCUCUCCAUCUCCCCAUCUCAGUUACACCUUCCAAUCACUAAGCAGUGAAAGCCCUGCAGGACUAGCUGGCACACCAAGCUCACCCUCUCCAUCUCCCAAUCUCAGCCACACGCUCCAAUCUGGCACAACAGAGGACAGGCCAUUCUUACCAACCUAAGUCCUUCAGUAAAUUGUACAAGAGACGCUGAGACUGUACAUGGCGAUGCUUGGCGUGUUCAACAGGGUUUCAAACACAUUCCGAGAACUAAUCAAGCCUCUCCAUCAUUCCAUAUAUAUAAAUGACAGUUUGGCAGGGGACAUUAAGCUUAAUAAAGACAAUCUCAUCUACAUAACGGUUAGAAAGAUUUACAACAAUGCAGGCUGUGUCAGUGGCCUUGCGCUACGCCUCAAAGGCUUCUCAAAAAAGAAGAAUUGGCCAAGCGCACCCCUGGUACUGAGGCACGUUGCAUAUGGCAGGUUUGUCAUAAAAGAUGUCUGCCUAGCAUAAUGUUCUUUUAUUACUCCUUUUUCGUUUUAUUUGGGACGUCAUUUUUGCAAUCCCUUUCAUUUGUAAAUGUACAUACUACUGUAGUAAAUGUAUCUGCCCAGAAAUGCUGGUAUUUUAUUACUCCUUUCUUUUUUGUUUUUGUGACAAAUGCUAUACGAUGUAUAUAACAUACAUUUGUGCCUACGAUGUAUGUUGUAAGGUUAAUUGUUACAGAGCAAUUACUGUAUUUUGUCUUUAUUG